rnacentral:rRNA from 1 species
AUGCGUAUGUUGAGAUGGAUGUGUGGCCACACGAGGAAGGAUCGAGUCCGGAAUGAUGAUAUACGAGAUAGAGUUGGGGUAGCACCAAUUGAAGAGAAGCUUGUCCAACAUCGUCUGAGAUGGUUUGGGCAUAUUCAGCGCAGGCCUCCAGAAGCUCCAGUGCAUAGUGGACGGCUAAAGCGUGCGGAGAAUGUCAAAAGAGGGCGGGGUAGACCGAAUUUGACAUGGGAGGAGUCCGUUAAAAGAGACCUGAAGGAUUGGAGUAUCACCAAAGAGCUAGCUAUGGACAGGGGUGCGUGA